UGUUAAAAAAGAUUCCUUCGAGCCGGAUUCGAACCAGCGACCUAAGGAUAUCCGUAUUCAACCUCUACAGUCCUCCGCUCUACCAACUGAGCUAUCGAAGGGUUAAACAGAUGUGCUUCAUACUGGUAGGGAACAGUGCCAACUUGGUUGUAUAGGAAUCCUCCCCACUACGCACUUACACAGGGAAGUUGGUUCACUUUUUGAAUGACAGCUUUGUGAAGGUAUUCAGAAAGAAUUUGGUUUCUGCAUUCACAUCACCCGGGAAAUACACUGGGGAGCUUACUAGAGUGCAGUACUUCUUAAGGCAGAACAAUGAGCCCUUGCAAGACAUGUGCUCCACAUCUGAGAACAUGUCAGCGUUGCUGGAGGAUUUGAAUGUACAAGAUCUUGGAGAUGAGGGCUUUGUCGAAUCAACUAAUGAUAAUUAAAUCAUAUUGGCAGAUCUAAUGAUUUCAGAUGUGGCAUCUCUCUGAGCCCCGAAGGUACGCAACUGAGCUAUCGAAGGGUUGAAAAGAUGUGUUUCAUGAGCUGAAGUGUCCCUAUUUUGCCAAUAAACCGUCUAC